CCUACGGGAGGCAGCAGUGGGGAAUUUUGGACAAUGGGCGCAAGCNUGAUCCAGCAAUGCCGCGUGCAGGAAGAAGGCCUUCGGGUUGUAAACUGCUUUUGUACGGAACGAAACGGCUCUGGUUAAUACCCGGGGCUAAUGACGGUACCGUAAGAAUAAGCACCGGCUAACUACGUGCCAGCAGCCGCGGUAAUACGUAGGGUGCAAGCGUUAAUCGGAAUUACUGGGCGUAAAGCGUGCGCAGGCGGUUUUGUAAGACAGGCGUGAAAUCCCCGGGCUCAACCUGGGAAUGGCGCUUGUGACUGCAAAGCUGGAGUGCGGCAGAGGGGGAUGGAAUUCCGCGUGUAGCAGUGAAAUGCGUAGAUAUGCGGAGGAACACCGAUGGCGAAGGCAAUCCCCUGGGCCUGCACUGACGCUCAUGCACGAAAGCGUGGGGAGCAAACAGGAUUAGAUACCCUGGUAGUCCACGCCCUAAACGAUGUCAACUGGUUGUUGGGUCUCUUCUGACUCAGUAACGAAGCUAACGCGUGAAGUUGACCGCCUGGGGAGUACGGCCGCAAGGUUGAAACUCAAAUGAAUUGACGGGG
rnacentral:rRNA from 1 species